UCAAAUAAAACCAAUACAAAACUAAAUCAAUUUACAAAUUUCAAAAGCUAGAUUUCAGAUGCUGUUAGAUUAGAAGGGUCUCUGCAUGUAAAAAGAAAACCAAAUGAUAUUAGAAAACAAUUAUGCGAAACAAUAAACAAUAUUCAAAAUUUCAAAUGCAUGUCCUUAAUUUCUUGAUUAGGAUCAAAUAAAAUUUGUUUUCAGUAGAAAAAACUUUAAUACAAAAUAUACACAAACCUAUAUACACUAAUUUUUAACCACAAUUUUUUAAAGAGAUUUUUUUUAACAGCAAUAUUCAGAAUAUAAAACUUAAUCUCGAACACCAUGCUUGUUCUAUUUUUUAGCUGCAAUAUUCAGAUUAUAAAAAUUAAUCUCGAUCACGUUUAUGUCAAUUUUCAUUUAACAGAAAAGUGAGCUAUGAAAGAUAAAUACAUCCGCAAUAAACAAGAAUAAAUGGACAAAUGAAAUAUUCCAAUAUCUCGAUGAUAAAAAAUUAGAUCUAUAAGUGUUUCUUUAUUUUAAACCUCAACCUUCAACAACAGUUCUUCAAACUAUAAUAUGACUUCCUGGCAACUCAAUAAUAUUACAUAUUAAAACUAUAACCUAUAUUAUGGAUUCAAAAAAUUAUAUAACUCAAAAAAGAAUUAGAUAGAAAGAACAAACUUGCUAUCGUCAUCUCAUUAUAACACUCAAAUAAUCACUUUUGGAAGAGCUUGCUCUAUCAAGAACACAUGCAUACAAUCACAAUUUGAUUCACCUCCAAAAGCCAAUCAAUCAAUCAAAAAUGGAAGCUGCAAUUAGAAAGAAAGACAGAAUGCAAAUAACUAAAUAUUUUUAAAAUGGAAACUUUUUUAGAGAAAAACUAUAGAAUGUUACCGUAACAAUUCAAGAGACCAGUCUAAGCACAAGAUGAGACAAACAAAACAAUAAAGGAUGUCAGUUUUAAUGAUCAAUAGAAUUGCAAGACUAAAAUAUUAGAAACAAAGACAAUAAGUAGUUCAAUUCAAAGAAAUCAAUGAAAUCAAGGUAAUAUAGGAAAUUAAAAAGGUAUAUACAAAUAUUCUUCCCUCAAUAAAAUCUUGGGUCUCAACAUCAACUAGGGUAGACACAACGGCCUUAGCAGAGUUCAUAAAAAGGGUAUAAACAGUAAUGAAAUAUUCAGGUUACAAAAACACCAAAUUCAAAAUAUUCAACUAUAAAUUACAACAAUAAAGAAAACAAUACUAAAGAAAACAACUUCAAACCCGAAGACUCUUUUUCUGGCUCGAUUUUGGAUACAUCUUAGAUGCCUUCACCUACUUUUGAAGGUAGUGGUGUUCUAUUUUGAGCCCAUAGCCUCCGACGUUCCAUUUCCUCACAAAGAAUUCUGUCAAAAAAAUACAUAACAAGAUUCAGUAAAUAAAUCUUUUGGAUCAAAAACAUAUAUUUAACAAUUAUCUUUUAAAAAAUGAUUUAAAACCACAAUACUAAACAGACACAGCUUUGCAUUGGAGAAAAAAGAAGCGAGAUUCAGAAUUAUAAACUAACAAGUUUUCAAAAGUUCAUUCUCAAUCCAAAUGUUAAGAUGCAAAAAAUUCAGGCAAAUUCCAUUCCACCAUCAGCUAUGAAUACUUGGCUCCAUAAAAAAGAAUUAAAUAGAUUAUACAAAAUAUUGCUCACUUGGCUCCAUACCAAAGCCUGGAAAAAAGAGUUCAUGGCUCGAAUUUACAUCGGCCCGCAUAUGUUGUAUUAUAUUAUUUGGUGAUAUAUAUAUAUAUAAAUACAGUUCAUCUACUGACCUAAACUUUUACCCUUUGCAUAAUGUUGGCUACACAAUACAUGACCUUUGCACAAUUAAAAUUUUUUAAAAAUAAAAUAAAUUAUCAAACUCUGCUGCAUUCACAUUCUAGAAAACUAAUAACUUAUUUUCCUACCUGGCUUUGUUUUCGUAUCCCCUCAUCUUGUUGUAAUCCCUGCCCAUAUUUUUAACUCUGGUUAGUGAGAGUAAAACAAUUUCAAAUAAUAAAAUUCUUAUUUUUACACAUAUAAAUAAAGAAAUAAAACUGCACCUGCUCGGCUGCAAAUUCCUCGGGAGCAUCCGAGUCAUAUGAAAAUUUAGAUUGUAAGCAUGAGAGUCUGUCGGGCGUCAGCGGCUCUAUUGUGAUGGGUGUGGCGGCAGUCGACGGCUUCAAAUUUGAGAGAGACGGAACCGAGAGGAAUGGGUUAGGUUGUGGCUGUGUUAAAAGUGUUAGGGUCUGUUUUGUUUUGUGGCUUUAGAAAAUUGGGAAUUUAGGGAUCGGGUUUGGGUGUUUGGCUUUGAACCGUUUAUGCUUUUUUUUUCUUUUAAUUAUAAGGUAUAACCCGAUCGACUUUAGUAAAUUCAAUCUCUAACCUUCUUCGUGCUUUGGUGACGCAAGAGAUGAUGACUCUUUCAAACAGUCAACGACAGCCUUUGAUUGACCUCCAUCACUUGAUUCAGCUCGCAGGUCUAGGAUUUGCGUGCAUAGAAAGUGAGAUACGGUAACAGCUAGUGGCUGAUACAUAGGACCGUAAUGGGUGUAGGAAUGAAGACGGCGGCAACCGCUCGCUUGCUGGCUUGUGAGGGUUUGACGUGAGUGAGCGUGUUUGAUGGUUUGAGGAGAGCGGCUAGGGUUUCCAAAGAAAUGUCAUAAUGUGAGUAUUCAUAUUAUUAGUAGAAAUUGGAAAAAAAAAUAUGAAAGUUUUCAAAUUAAUAAAAAAGAUAAUAAAAGUUAGAAGAAUAAUAAAACUUCCAUUGAUAGAUUUAUUGUGACCAUUCAAAAUCUCAAGAUUCAUUUUUGUAAUUUGGUAAAUAAUAUUUUCAUUUUUACCUGCCAAGAUGAAAUUUUUUUAUGUGAAAAUCCAUGGGAGCAAAUUUAGUUGUAAAUCAUUUGAAUUCAAAACAAAAUAGUUGAGGUUUGAAUCCAUGGGAGCAAAUUUAGUUGUUAUUAAGCUAU
rnacentral:lncRNA from 1 species